rnacentral:tRNA from 1 species
GGAGGAGGAGCGAAGUGGCUAAACGCGACGGACUGUAAAUCCGUUCCUUAGGGUUCAGUGGUUCGAAUCCACUCUCCUCCA